rnacentral:rRNA from 1 species
UACAGAGGGGGCAAGCGUUAUUCGGAAUUAUUGGGCGUAAAGGGCGCGUAGGCGGCUUUGCAAGUGACGGGUGAAAGCCCUCGGCUUAACCGAGGAACUGCCUGUCAGACUGUGAGGCUUGAGACCGGGAGAGGUGAGUGGAACUGCGAGUGUAGAGGUGAAAUUCGUAGAUAUUCGGAGGAACACCAGUGGCGAAGGCGGCUCGCUGGCUCGAUACUGACGCUGAGGUGCGAAAGCGUGGGGAGCAAACAGG